rfam:Culex pipiens quinquefasciatus supercont3.619 genomic scaffold, whole genome shotgun sequence.
GGCUCCGUGGCUUAAUGGUUAAGGCUUCUGUCUCCCAAGCAGAAGGUUCAGGGAUCAAAUCCCGGUCGGUACCU